AUUGAACGCUGGCGGCAUGCUUUACACAUGCAAGUCGAACGGCAGCGCGGGCUUCGGCCUGGCGGCGAGUGGCGAACGGGUGAGUAAUGCAUCGGAACGUGCCCAGUAGUGGGGGAUAGCCCGGCGAAAGCCGGAUUAAUACCGCAUACGACCUGAGGGUGAAAGCGGGGGCCCGAAAGGCCUCGCGCUAUUGGAGCGGCCGAUGUCGGAUUAGCUAGUUGGUGGGGCAAAGGCUUACCAAGGCGACGAUCCGUAGCUGGUCUGAGAGGACGACCAGCCACACUGGGACUGAGACACGGCCCAGACUCCUACGGGAGGCAGCAGUGGGGAAUUUUGGACAAUGGGGGCAACCCUGAUCCAGCCAUGCCGCGUGCGGGAAGAAGGCCUUCGGGUUGUAAACCGCUUUUGUUCGGGAAGAAAUCCUCUGGGCUAAUACCCCGGGGGGAUGACGGUACCGGAAGAAUAAGCACCGGCUAACUACGUG
rnacentral:rRNA from 1 species